CCCUUAGAUGUUCGGGGCCGCACGCGCGCUACACUGAAGGAAUCAGCACGUCUUUCUCCUUGUCCGAAAGGACUGGGUAACCCGCUGAACCUCCUUCGUGCUAGGGAUUGGGGCUUGUAAUUCUUCCCCAUGAACGAGGAAUUCCCAGUAAGCGCGAGUCAUAAGCUCGCGUUGAUUCCGUCCCUGCCCUUUGUACACACCGCCCGUCGCUACUACCGAUUGGAUGGUUUAGUGAGAUCCUCGGAUUGGUCCCGGAGCGGCCUCUGGUCGUGCCGGAGUGCCGAAAAGAAUGUCGAACUUGAUCAUCUAGAGGAAGUAAAAGUCGUAACA
rnacentral:rRNA from 1 species